UUCUGAAUAUUGGGGAAAGCCAGAAUUCGGGGAAGAUUAAUGAGUGUGCUGAGUAAGCUUUAUUUGCAAACUUUGGCUAUUCUUACAUGAUUCAUAAUUGUGUCUCUGCUUGGUAAUUUUGCAAACUAGUGCGAAAUGGUGGUAUGCAAAACGAUUUCUACAUCCUGACAUUGUGGCACCAUAUGAUUACAUAUUUAUCUGGGACGAAGAUUUGGGAGUGGAUAAUUUUGAUUAUGAAAAGUUAGCACUCUUUCUGCAUCAUAUCCUCUAAUGACUUGAGCUAUUCAGUACAGAACUUUUGUCAUUUUUUUUAUUGAAUUUUCGGAUACGUUGAUUUGGUUAAGAAACAUGGUUUGGAAAUUUCACAGCCUGGUGUGGAUCCUAAUAGUCCAUUUACAUGGCAGAUGACAAGGAAAAGACAUGACAGUGAAGUUCACAAGAGCACAGAGGAGAAACCAGGAUGUUAAAUUUCAGUUAAAUUGUUCAAUUUUUGCUACAAAAAUGGAGAAUGAUUCUUCCAAGAAAAUUGAAGUUUCUGCCCUAAACCCCAAUUUACAAUCAAGAGGUGCUUUGGUUGUAUUAGAAGGGUUAGAUCGAAGUGGAAAGAGCUCUCAGUGUAUUCAGCUUCUCUCUCACUUGCAAAGUAUUGGGUGUUCUGCUGAGUUAUGGCGGUUUCCGGAUCGAAAUACUACUGUUGGGCAGAUGAUCUCUGCUUAUCUUUCCAAUCAAUCUAAUUUUGAUGAUCAUACUAUUCAUCUUUUGUUCAGUGUUAAUCGUUGGGAGAAAAGGUUGUUUCUUUUUUCUUUUUAUGAUUGUUUUUUUAUACAUAAUUUGUGAGUUGCAUACCAUGUGUUUGAUGUUAUGUUUAGCUGAAUCUAAUUCCUUUCUAUGUUGUUAUUUAUUGGUUAAUUUACUUGGUAAGAUCUAAGACAUGGUUGUUAAACCAAAUCUUAGUUUUUUCAUAGCUUGCAUCAGACUGUACAAUUUUGGUAAGGCUGUAAGGUUAAUAGGUUUGACAGUGGUGACUUUAUCUUGCAUAGUGUCAUUAUAGUGAUGCCUGCAAUAUUAUGUAGUGCAGGUUAUACUAAUUUUCUUUACUUAAACAUGUUCCAGUUUCUUGCAAUGUUCUUUUUAUUUUUGUAAAUUAUGUUUUUAACUAGAUUCUGUGAGAUAGUUGUUGUUUCAUCAAAUUCCGUAAUAAUGCCAUCUAGAUUUUCAUACGAUGCUGAAUGAUAACAGAUGGUUGAUGCCUGCUUGCCAAUGGAAGAAGUCCAGAAGAAGCUCAGAGAAUAUGUGCUUGAGUGUGUUGCGGCCUGCAAAAAUGGAAGGGCUUUG